rnacentral:rRNA from 1 species
GACGAACGCUGGCGGCGUGCUUAACACAUGCAAGUCGAACGGUGAAGGGGUCUGCUUUUGUGGGCCCUGGAUGGGUGGCGAACGGGUGAGUAACACGUGAGUAACCUGCCCCCUUCUUCUGGAUAACCGCAUGAAAGUGUGGCUAAUACGGGAUAUUCUGGGUCUGUCGCAUGAUGGGUCUGGGAAAGAUUGCGCCUUUGGGUGUUUUUGGUGGGGGAUGGGCUCGCGGCCUAUCAGCUUGUUGGUGGGGUGAUGGCCUACCAAGGCGGUGACGGGUAGCCGGCCUGAGAGGGUGGACGGUCACACUGGGACUGAGGCACGGCCCAGACUCCUACGGGAGGCAGCAGUGGGGAAUAUUGCACAAUGGGCGCAAGCCUGAUGCAGCGACGCCGCGUGAGGGAGGGAGGCCUUCGGGUUGUAAACCUCUUUCGCCAGUGAAGCAGGCCUGCUCCGUGUGGGUGGGUUGACGGUAGCUGGAUAAGAAGCGCCGGCUAACUACGUG